rnacentral:rRNA from 1 species
UACAGAGGGGGCAAGCGUUGUUCGGAAUUACUGGGCGUAAAGGGCGCGUAGGCGGCCUUCUAAGUCGAACGUGAAAUCCCCGAGCUCAACUCGGGAACUGCGUCCGAUACUGGCAGGCUUGAAUCCGGGAGAGGGAUGCGGAAUUCCAGGUGUAGCGGUGAAAUGCGUAGAUAUCUGGAGGAACACCGGUGGCGAAGGCGGCAUCCUGGACCAUAACUGACACUGAUAAGCGAAAGCCAGGGGAGCAAACGGG